CGUCGAAGUAGGCGGGGGGUG
rnacentral:misc_RNA from 1 species